CAGCCACCGCCAGGACAAGCAGCAUGUGAAGACGCUGGUAAGCCACCAGCCACGUGGCAAGAGCCACAUUUAAAAAGAACAGACGGAGACCGUCUCUCAAAAUAUCCGAAAACACAGAGUUUGCUUGCAGUCCUGGAAUUGUAGCUCUCCCUUGGCGUAACUAGCUACCUCCUUUCCUAUGUAACCCUACAAUGCAAACAGAGCCACCCCCGUGGGAAAAUUCAGCCAGGUCUCAUAUAGGCUAUGUUCUCACAGAAACUGUGGAGAAUUUGGAGUACACAUUGUGGUACAUGUGGACAUUCCUGCCGUGGCCGUAUUCAUUCAUGUCUGCCUGUACACUUACAUAUUGUGCUUUAUUUUUCAUGUAUAUCAGAAAAUAAUACUCAUUUCCUUCUGUUACUAACUUUUCGCACCCAAUAAAAAUAUUUUUAUUAUUUUAAA